CCAUUCUACCCUUCUCCUCACUUGCCUAUCACUUCCCUCUGGUUCCCCUCCUCCCGUGGUCCAUUGAGUUCUCUCAGAUUCCUUCUCCUUUGGCCCUUUACCCUUCCACCUGUCACCUCCCGCCUCACCUAUCCUUUUAUCUAUCACCUACACGUUACUCUGCAGAUGCGGGAAAUCCAGAAUCACACACGAGCAGGACAGGCAGCACCUGAGGAGUCAUUGUAUCAGCUCGCAACCCCUGUUGAUCCCUGCUGCCCUCAGAUGGAUCUGGUCCUGGUCUUGGGAUCUGCAAGGCCUCUGUUCUUCUCCUACCCAGCUUUCAGAACAGGGCCUUUCGUCCCAACAAGCCACACCACUCACCAACCCACCUACAGCAUUUGACACAGGCCUAAUCACGGGACAAUUUCCAAUGAUCAAUUAACCU